UACGUAGGGGGCGAGCGUUGUCCGGAUUUAUUGGGCGUAAAGAGCGUGUAGGCGGUUCGGUAAGUCUGUCGUGAAAUCCUGAGGCUCAACCUCGGGCGUGCGAUGGAUACUGCCGGGCUAGAGGGUGGUAGAGGCGAGUGGAAUUCCCGGUGUAGCGGUGAAAUGCGCAGAUAUCGAGAUCGACGAAUCGAAGGCGAAGGCUGGCUUGGACCGUUACGGUCGAACUGCUGACGCUACGA
rnacentral:rRNA from 1 species